CAAUAGCGUAUAUUAAAGUUGUUGCAGUUAAAAAGCUCGUAGUUGGAUUUCGGGGUGGCCUGGCUGGUCCGCCGCAAGGUGAGUACUGGUCAGCCGCCCUUCCUCGCGAAAGCCCCGACUGCUCUUUACUGCAGUGGUCGGGUAGUUCGGGACGUUUACUUUGAAAAAAUUAGAGUGUUCAAGGCAGGCUAUCGCCUGAAUACAUUAGCAUGGAAUAAUGGAAGAGGACCUCGGUCCUAUUUUGUUGGUUUCUAGGGCCGAAGUAAUGAUUAAGAGGGACAGUUGGGGGCAUUCGUAUUUAAUUGUCAGAGGUGAAAUUCUUGGAUUUAUGAAAGACGAACUAGUGCGAAAGCAUUUGCCAAGGAUGUUUUCAUUAA
rnacentral:rRNA from 1 species